GAUGUAUGCUGGCGGUAUGGAUAAGGCAUGCAAGUCGAGGGCACCGCAAGGUGACCGGCAGACGAGGUAGUAACACGUAGGAACGUACACCGAAGUCAGGGAUAGCCAGCCGAAAGGUUGGGUAAUACUUGAUGGUCUCGCGAGAGUAAAGAUUUAUCGCUUCGGGAGCGGCCUGCGCAAUAUCAGCUAGUUGGUGAGGUAACGGCUCACCAAGGCGACGAUCAGUAGCUGGUCUGAGAGGAUGAUCAGCCACACUGGGACUGAGACACGGCCCAGACUCCUACGGGAGGCAGCAGUGGGGAAUAUUGGACAAUGGGCGCAAGCCUGAUCCAGCCAUGCCGCGUGAGUGAUGAAGGCCCUGGGGUUGUAAAGCUCUUUCGGCGGGGACGAUAAUGACGGUACCCGCAGAAGAAGCCCCGGCUAACUUCGUGCCAGCCGCCGCCGUAA
rnacentral:rRNA from 1 species